AUGGACCUUAAAAUUUGCAGAAAAUGUAGAAAAAGAAAUUAAGGUUCAGUCUCAUGUUAUUUCAAUCUGUUUCUCGGCUCCUUCUGUCCUUUGUUUGAAUUUAUUGUAAUAUUGCUGCCAAUAUAACCUUGUUGGUUUCUACACAAAGGUCAAAUUCAGUUUUAAAUAUUAUGUAUAUCAGUUUUCUUUUUUGGGUUAAUUAAUAAGCAGUUUUGGCGUAGCUUUCAUAUUGGUCAUCGUUUAAAAUUAAAUGUAGUUAUUGGAUAAGGGCAAGAACAUACAGAUCAUGAAUAAAAACAUAUAUAUGAUGUUGUCAAUGCAAUGACGUGCAUAGGUGUGAAUGAGUGUGCUUUUGUCCAUCGACUGAGUUCGAUUCUUUUGGAAAACAAUUUAUUUGCAGGUAGCGAUCAGGAGUGUGACAUGUCUUCUGCAGCAAUUUCCUCAGUUGGAAAACUGGCAAUAGUGAAAAUUUCCACAUUACUUUGGAAGCACAAAUUAUGUAUCAACUACCCGUGUUAAUAAUUUUUGGUAUGGGUUUAUAACUUUUCAUAUUGAGAUGUAAUUUUCUUUUUUAUUGAUGUCAUGCCACCGCUUUGGGGAGUGAGUAAGAGACCUGCGCGGAA
rnacentral:lncRNA from 1 species